GUGUGCACUGUGGCCGUGCCCUACAUGCUGAGGGGCUCUUUUAGGAAUGCUGUCAUUUGGCUUGGGGAAGGGCCAGGCCUCUCUGCCCAUAGCAUUGAGGACAGAGGCACAGGUUUCCGUCACUGGGCUGACAGCUUCCAUUUCUUCCAAAUCCCCUCUCCUGAGCUAGUCUGCCAUGGACCAAGUGGGCAUGGGUGUGUUUUAUGCUUUGUACUUCUGCCUCCAUCCAUCUACAAUCCUAGCACUGAAACCACACUACUGCGAGCCGCCGUGUGCACCAGUGAGGUCUUCUCAUGGAUGGCCGCAGUCAUUCUCAUUUCUGCAUGCUUCCUCCAGGUCAGCUUCACAGGUGGUCCUGCUGGGUGAUUCUGGAUCCUGUGAAGUUGACAGCUUACAUUAACCAUCACAAGUAGCGUGCAGAAUCUGAUUUCUUAAUGGAAGAUACAGUACAAGCUCUGGAAGAAAUUUCAAUGUUGUGUAAAAGGAACACCGUAGAAGAAUGGAAUCCUAUGAGAUUUCUUUGUGAGAAAACCCAAGACUUGUGACCUCAGUUUCUUCAAAAACAUGGAAUUAUUCUUGGGGUGUUUUUGUGCUCCUCCCAUGUGUAGUGGGUAGGAGUGGGUGUACUUCAGAUCACUCAUUAGUGCUUGCAGUUAUUAAGUUAAGUGUUUAGACUAUCCUUUCUAUUCCUCUAGAGAAAACCAUGGUUUUUACCACAUGGGGCUUGUGCUCUUGUGAUUUUUAUACAGCGUGAAACUCAUGAGAACUUUAUUCAUGGGAUUUUUCUUCACCCUCGGAGUAUAAACUGUCUGAAGCCCUGGAUAGAGAAGGUCAUUGAAGGUCAUUGCGUGAGACUGUUGCCUCCUCAUUUAUCGGCUCCAUUCUCCCACAUGUGAAGGCUAUCAUGAUAAGCAUAUCCACUCAGGCACCGAAAGACGAGUAUUACAUGCCUGCUGGCA
rnacentral:lncRNA from 1 species